CCUACGGGGGGCAGCAGUGGGGAAUAUUGGGCAAUGGGCGCAAGCCUGGCCCAGCAACGCCGCGUGAAGGAAGAAGGCUUUCGGGUUGUAAACUUCUUUUCUGAGGGACGAAGAAAGUGACGGUACCUCAGGAAUAAGCUACGGCUAACUACGUGCCAGCAGCCGCGGUAAUACGUAGGUGGCAAGCGUUAACCGGAUUUACUGGGUGUAAAGGGCGUGUAGGCGGGAAAGCAAGUCAGAUGUGAAAACUCAGGGCUCAACCCUGGGCCUGCAUUUGAAACUGUUUUUCUUGAGUGCUGGAGAGGCAAUCGGAAUUCCGUGUGUAGCGGUGAAAUGCGUAGAUAUACGGAGGAACACCAGUGGCGAAGGCAGAUUGCUGGACAGUAACUGACGCUGAGGCGCGAAAGCGUGGGGAGCAAACAGGAUUAGAUACCCGAGUAGUC
rnacentral:rRNA from 1 species